AUUGAACGCUGGCGGCAUGCCUUACACAUGCAAGUCGAACGGCAGCAUGGAGAGCUUGCUCUCUGAUGGCGAGUGGCGAACGGGUGAGUAAUGCAUCGGAACGUACCGUGUAAUGGGGGAUAACGUAGCGAAAGUUACGCUAAUACCGCAUACGACCUGAGGGUGAAAGCAGGGGAUCGCAAGACCUUGCGUUAUACGAGCGGCCGAUGUCAGAUUAGCUAGUUGGUGAGGUAAAGGCUCACCAAGGCGACGAUCUGUAGCGGGUCUGAGAGGAUGAUCCGCCACACUGGGACUGAGACACGGCCCAGACUCCUACGGGAGGCAGCAGUGGGGAAUUUUGGACAAUGGGGGCAACCCUGAUCCAGCCAUGCCGCGUGAGUGAAGAAGGCCUUCGGGUUGUAAAGCUCUUUUGUCCGGAAAGAAAUGGCUCUGGUUAAUACCUGGGGUCGAUGACGGUACCGGAAGAAUAAGGACCGGCUAACUACGUGCCAGCCGCCGCGGUAA
rnacentral:rRNA from 1 species